rnacentral:rRNA from 1 species
GAGUUUGAUCAUGGCUCAGGACGAACGCUGGCGGCACGCCUAACACAUGCAAGUCGAACGGAGAUAUUUUGGUUUACUGAGAUAUCUUAGUGGCGGACGGGUGAGUAACACGUGAGCAACCUGCCUCUGAGAGAGGGAUAGCUUCUGGAAACGGAUGGUAAUACCUCAUAACAUAACGAAGCCGCAUGACUUUGUUAUCAAAGAUUUAUCACUCAGAGAUGGGCUCGCGUCUGAUUAGAUAGUUGGUGAGGUAACGGCUCACCAAGUCGACGAUCAGUAGCCGGACUGAGAGGUUGAACGGCCACAUUGGGACUGAGACACGGCCCAGACUCCUACGGGAGGCAGCAGUGGGGAAUAUUGCACAAUGGGGGAAACCCUGAUGCAGCGAUGCCGCGUGGAGGAAGAAGGUUUUCGGAUUGUAAACUCCUGUCUUAAAGGACGAUAAUGACGGUACUUUAGGAGGAAGCUCCGGCUAACUACGCGCCAGCAGCCGCGGUAAUACGUAGGGAGCGAGCGUUGUCCGGAAUUACUGGGUGUAAAGGGAGCGUAGGCGGGAUGGCAAGUCAGAUGUGAAAACUAUGGGCUCAACCCAUAGACUGCAUUUGAAACUGUUGUUCUUGAGUGAAGUAGAGGUAAGCGGAAUUCCUGGUGUAGCGGUGAAAUGCGUAGAUAUCAGGAGGAACAUCGGUGGCGAARGCGGCUUACUGGGCUUUUACUGACGCUGAGGCUCGAAAGCGUGGGGAGCAACRGAUUAGAUACCCUGGUAGUCCACGCUGUAAACGAUGAUUACUAGGUGUGGGGGGACUGACCCUUYCGSKGCCGCAKUUAACACSAUAAGUAWUCACCUGGGRARUACGG